AGUGAACGCUGGCGGUAGGCCUAACACAUGCAAGUCGAACGGCACCACAGUAAGAGCUUGCUCUUACGGGUGGCGAGUGGCGGACGGGUGAGGAAUACAUCGGAAUCUACUUUUUCGUGGGGGAUAACGUAGGGAAACUUACGCUAAUACCGCAUACGACCUACGGGUGAAAGCAGGGGAUCUUCGGACCUUGCGCGAUUGAAUGAGCCGAUGUCGGAUUAGCUAGUUGGCGGGGUAAAGGGCCACCAAGGCGACGAUCCGUAGCUGGUCUGAGAGGAUGAUCAGCCACACUGGAACUGAGACACGGUCCAGACUCCUACGGGAGGCAGCAGUGGGGAAUAUUGGACAAUGGGCGCAAGCCUGAUCCAGCCAUACCGCGUGGGUGAAGAAGGCCUUCGGGUUGUAAAGCCCUUUUGUUGGGAAAGAAAAGCAGCAGGUUAAUACCCCGCUGUUCUGACGGUACCCAAAGAAUAAGCACCGGCUAACUUCGUG
rnacentral:rRNA from 1 species